GCCCAGCUGGUAGAGCAUGGGACUCUUAAUCCCAGGGGCAUGGGUUUGAAACCCACGUUGGGCU
rnacentral:tRNA from 1 species